AAUUUGCGAACUGAUAUAUUCUUAAACUUUCUAUCUAAGGCCCAAUGAUGUAUUAAUUGAUUCCAUAUUAAUGCAGAGAUGCAUUUUGGCUUGUAUUUAGAAUCUGUUGCAUAAUUUCGCCUCACUUGAUACAUCAUACCUCUAAAUCGAGCUUCUCCCUUAAUGUAAAAAAUAUGGCGAAUCCUUGCAUCAUAUUUACGUUCCCAUGUACAAUACUUCUACAAAAUUUAAUCCAAAUAGCAAGUAAGCAAUUUAAACUUUUCAGUGUCUUUGAUACAAUAUAUCAAUGAAAUAUAUCAAUUAGCAAUUUAAUAUAUCAAUUUGCUCUUAAUUGAUUUUGUCAAGAAACGAACAGCAGUUGAUGGAUUAAACCUGUUAUUACAAAAAAAUAUUGUUAGUAUAAAUGAUCUAAAAGAAAUAUAAUUUACUUACUUUCUCAAAAGCAUAUUAUUUAACUUACUCAUUUCCAUAAGGCUCUAUUUCUACAAGACCUUUUUGAUCAAUUUCUUCAUCUUCCUCAGCUUCAAUGGCGCCUACUAAUUUCUUGAUCAAUUUCUUCAUCUUUCUCAAAAAACCAAAUGCAUUGUCAAAUGAACUGGAAUUAGUACAAAAAGUGACUGAGAGAUGAAGUAAAAAAGAUAGAAAAAGUGAAGAAAAGUACUUGGUAUGGAGUUCAGAGGCGAAUGUUUUCGAGUCGUUUGCGUUCAUAUGCGGUGGGUUUUGUAGGCGCCAUUGAAGUGAAGAGUGAAGAAAAGCUCUUGGUAUGGAGUUCAAAAGAAAAGGCUUAAUUUGGAUAUCACACUUGUGUAGAUGAAGGCAACAUACUCCUUAGUGUCCCUAAAAAAUGACAAAAAAUUAUGCAAUUCACAAAUAAGUUAAAAAAGAUAN
rnacentral:lncRNA from 1 species